GGGUGCGAUCAUACCAGCACUAAUGCACCAGAUCCCAUCAAAACUCCGCAGAUAAGCGUGCUUGGAUGAGAGUAAUACUAGGAUGAGUGACCUCCCGAAAAAUUUUCGUGUUGCACCCU
rnacentral:rRNA from 2 species